rnacentral:rRNA from 1 species
CGGGUGAGUAACACGUGGUCAACCUACCUCUGUGUGGGGGAUAACUAGCCGAAAGGUUAGCUAAUACCGCAUACGAUCGUUUGAGGGCAUCUUCGAACGAUGAAAGGAGUAAUCCGCACGGAGAGGGGACUGCGUCCCAUUAGUUAGUUGGUAGGGUAACGGCCUACCAAGACUCCGAUGGGUAGCUGGCUUGAGAGAGCGACCAGCCACACUGGAACUGAGACACGGUCCAG